rnacentral:lncRNA from 1 species
GGGCUAAAAAAAAAACCAGAGACAACAGCCAAUGCCAGGAUAUAGACAGAGCCAUGCACUUUACAUUUUACAUCAAUUAAAAAAUUAAAAUGAAUUUUAUGUAAAUUUUAUGGUUUUGAGAAAAAAAAAUGUAUUUCUGUUCCACAUUAUAGGAGAAAAAAUUUUGCUUUCCUUCUCAUAAGAAAAAAAAUAUUUUAUCGGAGGAAGGUUCGGAAAAAAAAAUUAUGAACACAAUAAAAAUCCCAGGCCCCC